AAGAAAAAUGAGGGUAUAAACUUAGAAGAAACACACCAUCAGAACUAACCAAGAAUAAUAAAUAAAAAAGCAGCUAGAUACUCCAUUAGCGGAAGUGAAGAUAUUUAGUAAUGGCCUUCACAUAUCCACCUGUGAAACAAAGAUGAUGAUCACUUGGUGAGGACCCAAACAGCGUAGAUAAUACCAGGUAGCCAUCCAAAGAGAGUCAACAAAACACAGAUCCAGAACUCCACCUGUUUUUCCAACACAAAAA